GAUGAACGCUGGCGGCGUGCCUAAUACAUGCAAGUCGAGCGAACAGACGAGGAGCUUGCUCCUUUGACGUUAGCGGCGGACGGGUGAGUAACACGUGGAUAACCUUCCUAUAAGACUGGGAAAACUUCGGGAAACCGGAGCUAAUACCGGAAAAAAGGUGGAACCGCAUGGUUCAAAAGGGAAAGACGGUCUUGCGGCAACUUAAAGAUGGAUCCGCGCGGCAUUAGCUAGUUGGUAAGGUAACGGCUUACCAAGGCAACGAUGCGUAGCCGACCUGAGAGGGUGAUCGGCCACACUGGAACUGAGACACGGUCCAGACUCCUACGGGAGGCAGCAGUAGGGAAUCUUCCGCAAUGGGCGAAAGCCUGACGGAGCAACGCCGCGUGAGUGAAGAAGGUCUUCGGAUCGUAAAACUCUGUUAUUAGGGAAGAACAAAUGUGUAAGUAACUAUGCACGUCUUGACGGUACCUAAUCAGAAAGCCACGGCUAACUACGUG
rnacentral:rRNA from 1 species